rnacentral:rRNA from 1 species
AGAGUUUGAUCAUGGCUCAGAACGAACGCUGGCGGCGUGGAUAAGACAUGCAAGUCGAGCGCUGAUUUCAGGGUAGCAAUAUUCUGAGGUCGGAGCGGCGCAAGGGUGCGUAACACGUGGGUAAUCUGCCAUGAAGUUCGGGAUAACUUGCUGAAAGGCGAGCUAAUACCGGAUGUGACAACCGAGAGGCAUCUUUUGGUUGUUAAAGUUGGGGACCGUAAGGCCUGACGCUUCUUGAUGAACCCGCGGCCUAUCAGCUAGUUGGUGAGGUAACGGCCCACCAAGGCUAAGACGGGUAGCUGGUCUGAGAGGACGACCAGCCACACUGGAACUGAGACACGGUCCAGACACCUACGGGUGGCAGCAGUCGAGAAUUUUUCACAAUGGGCGCAAGCCUGAUGGAGCGACGCCGCGUGGGGGAUGAAUGGCUUCGGCCCGUAAACCCCUGUCAUUCGCGAUCAAACGUUAUUAUUUAAAAGAUGAUGACCUGAUAGUAGCGGAAGAGGAAGGGACGGCUAACUCUGUGCCAGCAGCCGCGGUAAUACAGAGGUCCCAAGCGUUGUUCGGAUUCACUGGGCGUAAAGGGUGCGUAGGUGGUGAGGUAAGUCGGAUGUGAAAGCUCGGAGCUCAACUCCGAAAUGGCAUUGGAAACUACCUUGCUCGAGGGUUGGAGGGGGGACUGGAAUACUUGGUGUAGCAGUGAAAUGCGUAGAUAUCAAGUGGAACACCAGUGGCGAAGGCGAGUCCCUGGANNACUCCUGACACUAAGGCACGAAAGCUAGGGGAGCAAACAGGAUUAGAUACCCUAGUAGUCC